CGGGUGAGUAACGCGUAAGAACUUGCCCUUUAGACUGGGAUAACAGAGGGAAACUUCUGAUAAUACUGGAUAAGUUAGUAUAUCGCAUGAUAUGCAAAUGAAAGCUACGGCACUAAAGGAGAGCUUUGCGUCCUAUUAGCUAGUUGGUAAGGUAAGAGCUUACCAAGGCGAUGAUAGGUAGCCGGCCUGAGAGGGUGGACGGCCACAAGGGGACUGAGAUACGGCCCUUACUCCUACGGGAGGCAGCAGCA
rnacentral:rRNA from 1 species